CGACGAGUGACUAACCCAUAAUAGGCCCAUGGUAACGCACUGGGACGAAACUAGCGAACAAUGGCGGGAAAUUUGAAUAGCUGAUGGGCUCGUGAGGGUGAAUGUAUUCCGCCGACAGGAAUGCAAGUGGUACCGCCUUUGGUAACAACAAUGGCGGUUUAAAUGUCCGACCAAGGCGCCACACGACAACAUAAUUUAAACUGUGGAUAUGUGUUCUCAAACUUGAUACAAGACAGGUUUUCUUCUCCCGAAAUUACUGCCGAUGAGAGGAAAGACGGAAUGUUCACUUUGGUGAAAACCAGAUCAACUGUUUGCUGGGGUGGACUUUUCCUUUGACAAUAGCUCCAGAUCUCAUUCCUGAAGUGAUAUCUGCCACUUGUUAUUGAGCUCAAGGGACAGUGACAUGUAGAUUUGCCCGAGCCAAGUAAUCCUUGGCAGUAACAAAAGCUGCAAUGUCAGGCAACUGAAGCAUCGGCCAAGACGUAAACUCCUUCGAUCCUGAGCUACAAUAGGAAGUGGAACCGCCAAUCAUGCAUACAGUCUGGUCAGCGAAGAACUUGAAAAGUUUUCAUCAGGGGGUGAUGGCGGCGUCAAGUGAAUAGGAGAAUAUUGCUUGGAAGGCAUCUGCAUGUGGUAUAAUCUUACGGUGAGGUGAGGUCUGACGUCAUCGUUGACUGGCCAAUCAGAUUUCCCACAUGAGAAGACCCGGUUUUAUGAUCAGACAGUAUUGGCUCUUGAUCAAACAAACGAGGUAUACCACUAUCCGAAUAUUGUAGCAUAAUGGGGAGCGGAACCCAACAUUUACUAAACCGAAAUUCUGACAGUUGCAUCUGCAUCUGUCCAAAAGGAGUGCCUUUUUUAUUUUAAAAACGAAUUUUGAAGAAAAAUAGUUUGCUGUCAAGGUGAUUUUGUAUAUGUUGUAUUAAUAACUUUAGGGUAUAUUCUGAUGAGAGCGUAUAAACUCUUUAUUGGAAAAUAUAUUACUCUUCUUUUUUUUUACAGAUUGUCCCCAUGUAUGUUGGUGUUGGUAGUUUUUCUGAGUUACAAACAUCAGUUCGUUGUAUAAGUUUUAGUAUAAACAAAACGACAAAAAUAAACGAAAAGUUUUUAAAAAUCAGAAAAAUUAAGAAAAUGUAAUUGUUUGCUAUAGAAUGUUCGAUUUUGUCCAUCUCGAUUUUAAUCGAAAAUAGAAUAGUAAUAUGAUCAUCUCUAUCGUAGCAUCAAUUUGAGUGUGUUUAGAAAAGAAAUUCUGUGAUACGGAUUACUUAUGCAGCAGACAAUGUCAGAAGUUUAGUUUGGUAAAUAUUUUGAGGUUGCUUCCAAUAUAAUGUUCCAAUAUUCAUAUACUGGUAUCUCAUUCGUUUGACCAAAAGUCUUCCUUAGCUCCCUGACUAUUACCAAGAGGAGUAGGAUGUGGACGGUGGACUUUGAUCGACAAAUCUACCAUACUGAUACCAUGGUUUGAAAGUUCACCCGAUGCAGUCUCAUCGUGAUUAGGAGUAAUGAAGGAUCUAGUUGGUCUUCCGCCGGCCCGCUCGAGACCGACGACCUUUACGCUACAUCACAGGAAAGUUCACGAGGACGUUAAAGGUCAAGUUAACCCCAACCCCCCAAAAUGAAUGAAAAGAGGAUUAUCAAACUAGCAUAAUGAUGAAACUUAAUAAGGAAAGUCACGACUUUUUAAAAUUUUGCUUAAUUUCAUAAAACAGUAUGCACAGCAUGGUCAGUAUAGUAGGCAAAUGAGGGAAAUGAUGACAUCGCAUAUUCACCAUUUUGUAUUUUAUUUGAUGAAAUAUGAAAUAUCUGAAUUUCUCUUCUUUAUAAUAUGAUACAAUGCCUGAUUCCUCUUUGAAAAUGAGGGAUUAUCUUUGUUGCAACCUUUAACUUUAGAUUGAUUACUCCCUUGUCAAAUCUGCAAAAUUUGAAAUAUAUCUUUUAUUAUAAAAAGUAAAAAAUAGUGAGCAAGUGACAUCACCGACUAUUUUAUAUUGUGCAUAACUGUUCAUUGAAAAAUAAGCGAAAAUUUAAAAUGCUAUUACUAUCUUAAUUUACAUCCGAGUUCAAUGAAAAUUUUAGCAUUAUGCUCGUUUGAUUUUUUUUCCUAAUUGUUAUUCAUUCAUUUUUUUUUUUUUUUUUUUUUUUUUUUUUUUGGGGGGGGGGGGGGCUGUGCAGUAACGUAAAUUUACAUGCAGCCGCAUAUUCCCCCCCGAAAAAGGCCGUCAUUCAAAUGGGCGUUCAUCUCAAGAUAAACUGAAAGGAACGGCCCCCCCCCCAAAAAAAAAAAAAAAACAAUACUAAUAAAAUAAACAAAUAACACCAACAACAAAGAAAAAACUGGGGGUCAUGAAGGCAUUUUGGGGUAAUUCCCCCUUUUUUGUGGCAGUUUUACCUUCCGACUCCACUGGGUCUACGCCUGGCAUGUAGUCCAUAUAGUUGAAGGUGAAUGCAUCAAAUCUAGUCUUUAGAAAGAAUGACGCCCUGUGAAUCAGUUAGCUUGUGUGAAAACAGAAAAUCAAAGAAAGGAAUCAACGACAGUCUGAGAAAAUAUGAACAAAAUGGGCUAAAACAGAUGUUUUAGGGUAUAUUUUCAGUGUGCGAAGGGGAGAUUUGUACUAUGACGUCACAAACCUUGGUUGCGUUGCCACUAACUGGAGGAUUUCCAUAAAAGAAGUGAUUUCAACAUUCAAAUACGCAUAGAUUUCGUAUUGUUUUGCCGAUAUUGUUCUCGAACUUUGAUUGAUCUUAUUCUUUGAUGUUUCUGUUUUCAUGCGAGCUUUAUACAAGUUUCAUUUUCCUUUAAAGGGCAAUGUUUUGUACAUCUCGGUCGCUUUGCUUUGAUCCUUUGGUUCCUCUAAAAAAUCGCAUAAUUUUGCAUCCCUGUUAGUUUAAACUGCGUUUUUAUAGGCAUAAUCCUAGUUUACAGCAUUCCUAAAAGUUAAACAUUGAGUUCUAAAACAAGUUACGGCAAUUAUUUGAGCAGGCGCCGGAAACGUAAGAAAACGGGUUUGACGAUUAAAAUUUGAAGUAUCCCCUGAUAAGCUACAAGUUGACCCCCCCCCCAAAAAAAAAAAACUUACAAAAAAACUAUGCAUAGAAUUCGAGAAGUAAAACUAUUUCAUUUAUCGAUUGCUGGUAUCUCCAACAAAUUAUGAUAGGCCUAUUUUCUGAUGUGCACUUUGCUAUUCGAACGAAUAUAAGUUCCUGUGCAAGUGAUAUUUGGGCUAAAUUCUUUUAAUUCGUUGUUGUUGUUUUUUUUUGCUUUUUGCCUGGGGACCGUUUCAUUAAGCCGUUUUUAAGUUACAAAUGACUGGUGAUCCUUUCUUGUGCUCAUUGACAUUUGGCUAUCUAGCUGACUUUGCCACAGAAAACAUGUUCCAGUCUUUCAUAAAAUCGUGCGUAACUUACAAACAGCUUUAUGAAACGACACCCAGGACGAUUGAUUAGUAAAUGAUCGUGUUACACCUUCUUUUGGCUACUUGUAUUUAUUCUCGUACCGAUUUUAUAAAAAAAUGUCACUUUCUCUUUUAUCUAUCCCCAUCUAUACUUUCAUAUUUUUUGUAGUUUCAUCUCUAAACUAUGUAAUAUUUGGUUGUUGAUUUUUCAUCACUAAACUUUGUCAUUUCUCAUCAGGGCAAUUCCAUAAAAUAUGUGCGUCCGACCCCCUAUAUGUGGGACCUUCAUGAAAUUUUCUUGUUCUUUUGACAGUCUGUAAUAUUCUCAAAGGACCAUGACUUAGUCAGUUUAUGAAGUGAUGUAAGACUUGACAAAAAUGGGGAUCGGGCGUACAAAAAGGUUGAUCAUUUUAUGGAAUUGCCCAUCAUAUGUUCAUUUUAUACUUCUAUAUAGCUCAUCAUUUUCAUUUAAAUAGUAUUCCUAACCCUCUGUCUCUCUACUUCCUCCUCUGUACUUGUCGCUGUUAAUUUGUAUUUAUCAAUUUAACCAUUUCCUUCUCGGUAAAUCUUUCCAACCCCUCUCGACCCAUUACACUGCCCUCGCAUUUCUGUACGUAAGAUAUCUUUCCUCUCAACUCCCUUGAAUAAUUACCAAUCAUUAAUUUUCUAUCGAUCAUUAACAAUUCAAAUUUUAUUGUACUGCCUCCUCAAAAUUGAAAAAAAAAACUCAAUUUUUCACCCUCUUCACAUUCAGGUUCAUAUAUUGCAUAUCUCAUCCCUUUUCUCAUUCUUGACAGAUUUUGCAUUUAAACUUCUGUUCAUUUCACCUCCUCUCACUUAAAUUCAUUUUCAGCUAUUCUUACCCUUUCGAUCUUGGUCUAUAAUUCGAUCACAUCUAACUUAACCCACGGCUCUUUCAUUAGCCCUUGUCAACUGAUCUCAUCACAAUCCUAUUCACCUUUUCUCUCCCUUCCUCCCUAACUCCUUUUUCUCCCCCCCCCCCCUCUCACCCACUUUUCCUCUCUUUCUUUCUUCCUUUGUUUCUCUUCUGUCUACCCAUUUUUAACACACCUCUUUGAAAAUGAGAGUGAACUUCAUGAAAUUUAUGUUCACAUUGAUAAACCUGAUCUAAUGAUCACUUCAGCAACAGAACUGAACAAACUUCGGAUUAUCUUCAGACCCAAAACCUAAUGAUAAAAGUAAGAAACAUUUCAAAACUUUGAAGAAAACUACCUUUUAGCACUGUCAAUUUGAAAUAUUUAUUCUUGCCUUAAUUCCAUACAUAUUUCUUAGGUAUAGUGUCUUUCAGUGGAUUGAUUAUUAUUAUAUAAUACAAAUCGAUUGUGUGACAAAAUAUACAGCACAUUGUCGGAAAAUACUGUUUUAAAUAAAUCUUAUCAUAUUAAAAAUA